UCUUUCGAGUGAAUCAUAAGGUGGAAAGCGGCGGAAGGGUGAGUAACGCGUGGGCAACCUGCCUUGUACAGGGGGACAACACCGGGAAACCGGUGCUAAUACCGCAUAAAAUCCCAAAAGGACAUCCUUUAAGGGUCAAAGGAGAAAUCCGGUACAAGAUGGGCUCGCGUCCGAUUAGCUAGUUGGUGAGGUAACGGCCCACCAAGGCGACGAUCGGUAGCCGGACUGAGAGGUCGAUCGGCCACAUUGGGACUGAGACACGGCCCAGACUCCUACGGGAGGCAGCAGUGGGGAAUAUUGCGCAAUGGGGGAAACCCUGACGCAGCGACGCCGCGUGAAGGAAGAAGGCUUUCGGGUUGUAAACUUCUUUGAUUGGGGACGAAGAAAGUGACGGUACCCAAAAAACAAGCCACGGCUAACUACGUGCCAGCAGCCGCGGUAAUACGUAGGUGGCGAGCGUUGUCCGGAAUUACUGGGUGUAAAGGGCGUGUAGGCGGGAAGGCAAGUCAGGUGUGAAAUACCAUGGCUCAACUGUGGGGGUGCAUCUGAAACUGUCUUUCUUGAGUGCUGGAGAGGGAAGUGGAAUUCCUAGUGUAGCGGUGAAAUGCGUAGAUAUUAGGAGGAACACCAGUGGCGAAGGCGGCUUCCUGGACAGUAACUGACGCUGAGGCGCGAAAGCGCGGGGAGCGAACAGGAUUAGAUACCCUGGUAGUCCACGCCGUAAACGAUGGAUACUAGGUGUAGGGGGUAUCGACCCCUUCUGUGCCGGAGUUAACACAAUAAGUAUCCCACCUGGGGAAUACGACCGCAAGGUUGAAACUCAAAGGAAUUGACGGGGGCCCGCACAAGCAGUGGAGUAUGUGGUUUAAUUCGAAGCAACGCGAAGAACCUUACCAGGGCUUGACAUCCCUUGACGACACUAGAGAUAGUGUUUUCCUUCGGGACAAGGAGACAGGUGGUGCAUGGUUGUCGUCAGCUCGUGUCGUGAGAUGUUGGGUUAAGUCCCGCAACGAGCGCAACCCCUGUUGUUAGUUGCCAGCACGUUAUGGUGGGCACUCUAACGAGACUGCCGGUGACAAAUCGGAGGAAGGUGGGGACGACGUCAAAUCAUCAUGCCCCUUAUGUCCUGGGCUACACACGUACUACAAUGGCUGUUACAGACGGAAGCGAA
rnacentral:rRNA from 1 species